rnacentral:rRNA from 1 species
ACACAUGCAAGUCGAGGGGUAUAUGUCUUCGGAUAUAGAGACCGGCGCACGGGUGCGUAGCGCGUAUGCAAUCUACCUUUUACAGAGGGAUAGCCCAGAGAAAUUUGGAUUAAUACCUCAUAGUAUAGCUCUACCGCAUGGUAGUACUAUUAAAGUCACAACGGUAAAAGAUGAGCACGCGUCCCAUUAGCUAGUUGGUAAGGUAACGGCUUACCAAGGCAACGAUGGGUAGGGGUCCUGAGAGGGAGAUCCCCCACACUGGUACUGAGAUACGGACCAGACUCCUACGGGAGGCAGCAGUGAGGAAUAUUGGACAAUGGGCGCAAGCCUGAUCCAGCCAUGCCGCGUGCAGGAUGACGGUCCUAUGGAUUGUAAACUGCUUUUGUACGAGAAGAAACACUGCUUCGUGAAGCAGCUUGACGGUAUCGUAAGAAUAAGGAUCGGCUAACUCCGUGCCAGCAGCCGCGGUAAUACGGAGGAUCCAAGCGUUAUCCGGAAUCAUUGGGUUUAAAGGGUCCGUAGGCGGUUUAGUAAGUCAGUGGUGAAAGCCCAUCGCUCAACGGUGGAACGGCCAUUGAUACUGCUGAACUUGAAUUAUUAGGAAGUAACUAGAAUAUGUAGUGUAGCGG